GGCCUGACAGCCCAACUGGUAGAGCACUGCACCAGCAUUGCAGAGGUCAGGCUUCGGAUCCCCGUUCAGGCCU
rnacentral:tRNA from 1 species